rnacentral:tRNA from 1 species
GCGCGCGUAGCUCAGCGGGAGAGCAUUACCUUCACACGGUAGGGGUCACAGGUUCAAUCCCUGUCGCGCGCACCA